rnacentral:sRNA from 1 species
GCCCCUUAUAAAACGGGGGCCGGGUUUCGCAGCCUGCUAACAGUUCAAGCGCACAACCGCGCGAGCGGUUUUUUU